AACAUACUCCCUCUGUCCGAAAAUAAUUAUCAUCAAAAUAGAUAAAAAGAGAUGUAUCUAGAACUAAAAUACGUCUAGAUACACCCCCUUCUAUUUUGAUGACAAGUAUUUCCGGAUGGAGUGAGUAUUUA
rfam:Triticum aestivum genome assembly, contig: Triticum_aestivum_CS42_TGACv1_scaffold_117077_2AS